GACGUAGGAUGCAAGCGUUGUCCGGAUUUAUUGGGCGUAAAGAGUUCGUAGGUGGUUUGUUAAGUCUGAUGUUAAAGACUGGGGCUCAACCUCGGAAAUGCAUUGGAUACUGGCAGACUUGAGUGUGGUAGAGGCAAUCGGAAUUCCAGGUGUAGCGGUGAAAUUCGUAGAUAUCGGUAGGAACACCAGUGGCGAAGGCGGUCUCCUGGGGCAUUCUUGACGCUGAGGCGCGAAAACUGGGGGGAGCAAACGGGGAUUAGAUGACCCCAGAGUCCCAGAAC
rnacentral:rRNA from 1 species